rnacentral:tRNA from 1 species
GCGGGCAUAAUUCAGUGGUAGAAUGACAGCCUUCCAAGCUGUAUAUGCGGGUUCGAUUCCCGCUGCCCGCUCCA